UGGGACCUGCACCUGACACUGAUGGAAAUUGAAAUUUUCAGGUACAAUUUUUUUUCCAUCAUCAUGUACAAAAACCUAUUUCCUUAAAGGGUUUGUCUCAUCUCGCCAUUACUAAGGUGACAUGAGACCUAGCAGCUGGUCGGAAAACAGUAGAGCGCUCUGACACUUGUUUCAGUAGCUCCCAAUGAAGUGCAUGAGAACUACAGAAACAACGUAGCACAGCAAGCUAUAUUGUUUCCCUAACUCAUAAACCCCAUAGCUUGCUGUGCUACGCGGUUUCCAUCUUUCAUGCACCACAAUGGGAGCUACUGAAACAGAGAGCACAGGAGCACACUGCUGUUUCCCAGCCAGCUGGUGGUUAGUAAUGGCGAGAUGAGACAACUCUUUAAAAUAAAAAUUAAAGCUUGGAAUACAUGUAAAACCAGCUUUAUGCUCUAAUACAAUUAAAUUCCUGAAUUUAUUAUGAUAGGCCAUAAUAUAGCUUAGUAUUGUAAACGAAGGCAGGGACUGAUCAAUUAGCCGCACGUUCAGAAAAAUUACCUAAUAGAAAAUACUACGGUCACACACAGCACAUUUAGUAAGUAUUUCUGUUCAUUUCAUUUUUAUUCUUAGGAACCAGCUAAAGCUGCUCUCGUGUCAGGGUUUUCAUGGGCAACUAUUAGAUGCCCUCUUAUAGCCUAAACUGGACGUGGACCACUGGAGCCUGGUCUAGGUUUGGUUCAGAAGAUUUGUGAGGAGGUCCAUGGACUGCAGGCGUUACCAUGAAAGUGGCUUUAACGGUCAUAGAUAUGUUGUAUUUCUAACAUGCUAAUGACCUAUGCACCUUAACAAUAGUGCGGCCAUUAAAAGCGUUGUCAGAGAUUCGCUCGGAUGGGACUGACUUGCAACACCAGAAGAGUGGAGUUGUUACUUUUCCAGUCUAAUCUAAAUUAACAAAAAGGCAGAUAUAUCUUCAUAUAAAAGGACAUUAGUUAGGCCGAAUUCAUAGUACUGCAGGGAUAGGAAAUUUGAGAAUAAGGCCUCAUGCACAAGACCGUAUGUUUGGCAGUCCAUGUUGCAUCCACAUUUUGCGGACAGGUAUAGGACAUGGAAUGGACGUAUGCAUGCGGGAAAACACACAGAGGAUCUGUGUGCUUUUUGCAUGCACAUGUCCGCAAAGAGACAGGCCAAGGAUCCAUUGAAAACAAACGGGUCCACAAAUAAAAUGUGACGGCACACGGACUGCACACCUGUAUUUUGCAGAUCUGCAGUCCGCAAAACUG